CUUAUAAUUGUCGGUUCACUUAGUGAUAUACUUGGUCCACUUACCUAUGUUAUUGGGCUUGGCCAAAUACUGUACCUGAUGCAAACUUACAUAUAAUUGCCACCUUUGCUUUUGUGUGACCGUUUCCUUUUCCUUUGAUGAAAUCGGCGGUUGGCUUUGUGCUCUCUUUACCACUUCUUCAUCUUCUUUCUCUGCCUUUGUGGCUGCCUUCACGA
rnacentral:lncRNA from 1 species